GACGAAGGUGGCGAGCGUUGUUCGGAAUCACUGGGCUUAAAGCGCGCGUAGGCGGCCCUUCAAGUGCUUUGUGAAAUCCCUCGGCCCAACCGAGGAAUUGCUUGGCAUACUGCUGGGCUUGAGGCGGGUAUGGGUGAGUGGAACUCUUGGUGGAGCGGUGAAAUGCGUAGAUAUCAAGAGGAACGCCGGUGGUGAAGACGACUCACUAGGCCUGCCCUGACGCUGAGGCGCGAAAGCCAGGGGAG
rnacentral:rRNA from 1 species